rnacentral:rRNA from 1 species
GACGAACGCUGGCGGCGUGCUUAACACAUGCAAGUCGAACGGAAAGGCCCCUUUGGGGGUACUCGAGUGGCGAACGGGUGCGUAACACGUGAGUAACCUGCCCUUGACUUCGGGAUAACUUCAGGAAACUGGGGCUAAUACCGGAUAGGAAUCCUUGCUGCAUGGUGGGGGUUGGAAAGCUUCGGCGGUUUUGGAUGGACUCGCGGCUUAUCAGCUUGUUGGUGGGGUAGUGGCUUACCAAGGCUUUGACGGGUAGCCGGCCUGAGAGGGCGACCGGCCACAUUGGGACUGAGAUACGGCCCAGACUCCUACGGGAGGCAGCAGGGGGGAAGAUUGCACAAUGGGCGGAAGCCUGAUGCAGCAACGCCGCGGGCGGGAUGACGGCCUUCGGGUUGUAAACCGCUUUCAGCAGGGGCGAAGCUUGUGGUGACGGUACCUGCAGAAGAAGCACCGGCUAACUACGUG